GUGGGUUUAGUUUAGUGGUAGAACAUUAGAUUGUGGUUCUAAUAAUAGAGGUUCGAUUCCUUUAAUCCAC
rnacentral:tRNA from 1 species